UAAAGCAAGAAAGGGCGUAUGGGGAAUGCCUAGGCACACUCCGGCGAAGAAGGACGCAGCAAACAGCGAAAUGCGACGGUGAGCGGUAAGCACGUGAAGAGCCGUCGAUAUCCGAAUGGGGGAACCCACACGGAGUCAUAUCCGUGUAUCACAUGUCGAAUACAUAGACAUGAUGAGGCGAGACGCAGGGAACUGAAACAUCUAAGUACCUGCAGGAAGAGAAAAUAAGAAUGAUUUUCUGAGUAGCGGCGAGCGAAAGGGAAAGAGCCCAAACCGAUCUGAGGAUCGGGGUAGUAGGAUCAUCGAUAAAUCAAACAGAGGAUCAUAGAGGAAUCACAUGGGAAGGUGAGCGAGAGAGGGUGAGAGCCCCGUACUCGAAAUGAGAGACUGGAGAGAGAUGACACCUGAGUAGGGCGGGACACGAGAAAUCCUGUCUGAAUCAGCCGGGACCAUCCGGCAAGGCUAAAUACGAGAGAGUGACCGAUAGUGAACCAGUACCGUGAGGGAAAGGUGAAAAGAACCCCGGGAGGGGAGUGAAAUAGAACCUGAAACCCUGCACUUACAAGCUGUGGGAGCACAUUACUUGUGUGACCGCGUACUUUUUGUAGAACGGGCCAACGAGUUACGUUAAGUAGCAAGGUUAAGCACUUAAGGUGUGGAGCCGUAGCGAAAGCGAGUCUUAAAUGGGCGAUUAAGUUACUUGGCGUAGACCCGAAACCGGGCGACCUAUCCAUGAGCAGGUUGAAGCGAAAGUAAAAUUUCGUGGAGGACCGAACCCACGAGCGUUGAAAAGCUCGGGGAUGACUUGUGGAUAGCGGUGAAAUUCCAAUCGAGCCCGGAGAUAGCUGGUUCUCCCCGAAAUAGCUUUAGGGCUAGCCUCAAGCGUAGAGAAACGGAGGUAGAGCACUGAAUGUCCUAGGGGGUAUUGCACUUACCGAAGACUAUCAAACUCCGAAUGCCGUUUUCUUUUACUUGGGAGUCAGACUGUGGGUGAUAAGAUUCAUAGUCAAAAGGGCAACAGCCCAGAUCGUCAGCUAAGGUCCCUAAAUGUAAGUUAAGUGGUAAAGGAUGUGGAAUUGCACAGACAACCAGGAUGUUGGCUUAGAAGCAGCCACUCAUUUAAAGAGUGCGUAAUAGCUCACUGGUCGAGUGAUCCUGCGCCGAAAAUUUCCGGGGCUAAAACGUACUACCGAAGCUACGGCAUCAUUUAUGAUGGGUAGGGGAGCUUCGUAUGCAGGCUGAAGCAUGACCGUAAGGACAUGUGGACAGUAUACGAGUGAGAAUGUUGGCAUGAGUAGCGAGACGUGGGUGAGAAUCCCACGGGCCGUAAACCCAAGGUUUCCAGGGGAAGGUUCGUCCGCCCUGGGUUAGUCGGGACCUAAGCCGAGGCCGAAAGGCGUAGGUGAUGGACAACAGGUUGAUAUUCCUGUACCGCCAAUAAGCGUUUGAGAGAUGGAGUGACACAGUAGGAUAAGCUAACCGUACUGUUGGUUAUGUACGGCUAAGCAUUGAGGCAGUCUAAAUAGGCAAAUCCGUUUAGACAAUGCUAGGAUGUGAUGGGGAAGCCCUUCGGGGCGAAGUAGCUGAUUUCACACUGUCAAGAAAAGCUUCUAUCGAGUUUAAAGGCGCCCGUACCGUAAACCGACACAGGUGGGUGAGGAGAGUAUCCUAAGGCCAGCGAGAGAACUAUUGUUAAGGAACUCGGCAAAAUGACCCCGUAACUUAGGGAGAAGGGGUGCCUGUCUAUGACAGGCCGCAGAGAAUAGGCCCAAGCGACUGUUUACCAAAAACACAGGUUUCUGCUAAGUCGCAAGACGAUGUAUAGGAGCUGACGCCUGCCCGGUGCUGGAAGGUUAAGGGGAUCUGUUAGAGCAAUCGAAGCAGUGAACUUAAGCCCCAGUAAACGGCGGCCGUAACUAUAACGGUCCUAAGGUAGCGAAAUUCCUUGUCGGGUAAGUUCCGACCCGCACGAAAGGCGUAACGAUUUGGGCACUGUCUCAACAAUAGACUCGGUGAAAUUGUAAUCCCGGUGAAGAUGCCGGGUACCUGCGACAGGACGGAAAGACCCCAUGGAGCUUUACUGUAGCUUGACGUUGGGUCUUGGUACUACAUGUACAGGAUAGGUGGGAGACUAUGAAGCAUGGACGCCAGUCUGUGUGGAGUCAUCCUUGGGAUACCACCCUUGUAGUACUGGGAUCCUAACCAUAGGCCUUGAAUCAGGUCUUGGAACACCGUCAGGUGGGCAGUUUGACUGGGGCGGUCGCCUCCUAAAAAGUAACGGAGGCGCUCAAAGGUUUCCUCAGCACGGUCGGAAAUCGUGCGAAGAGUGUAAAGGCAAAAGGAAGCUUGAUUGCAAGACAUACAGGUCGAGCAAGGACGAAAGUCGGACUUAGUGAUCCGGUGGUUCCGCAUGGAAGGGCCAUCGCUCAACGGAUAAAAGCUACCCUGGGGAUAACAGGCUUAUCUCCCCCAAGAGUUCACAUCGACGGGGAGGUU
rnacentral:rRNA from 1 species